GUCCCACCAGCACCACAUAAACUGGAGUGUGGUAUCACCAGUCACAGCUGAGGAGAUCAAAGUGGCUCUGCGCACUAUGGGCAAAACAUCGGCUGGGAUGGACAGUCAGUCUGCCCAGGAAGUGCUGUCAUAGCAUCUAAUGAACAUCAUCCUGGCCACAGAAAGUCUCCCAGCAUCCCUGUCAUGUGCCAGAGUGGCGUUCCUACCCAAAGCUGAAUGCCCAGAAGAUCCAAGCAACUUUCGACCAAUAGCCAUUUCAUCAGUUUUAGCCUGUGCCCUCCACAAAGUUUUCUCCAGGAGGAUGAGAGAAGGAUUCCAGUCCUCUCCACUUCAAUACGCUUUCCUACAGAGAGACAGCUGCCUGGAGGCCUCCUCCCUACUUCAUGCUUUGUUGCGAUGCACACAUGAUGAAACUCGACCGUUGGCAGUUGCGUUCUUGGACCUGACCAAGGCUUUUGAUGCAAUAUCCCACCAAGCUAUUCUGGCAGCGGCAGAGAAAGCUGGAACACCGCCUCCCUUGCUUAAGUACCUGGAACAUCAAUGCAUCAAUGCUAUUGCAGAAUUACAUCUUGGUGCCUUAGCUACGAAGUGCAGCAAGGGAGUCAGCGGGGGGUCCCGAUUUCACCAAUCCUCUUCAUUCUGGCUAUGGGGGAGGUGAUUGAAAAGGCCUUCCCUGAGAUCGGGGUCACGCUCGGGGAGCAGCGUAUUGGAGAAGUGGCGUACGCCAAUGACCUUAUUCUAUUAGCUGAGAGCCCAGAACAACUUCAGAAGAAACUUGAUGGCCUUCAGGAAGGGAUUCAUACAGCCGGUAUGUCCUUGAACAUCAAGAAGUCUGCAACUUUAACAAUUAUGAGGGAUGGGCGAAGAAAACACCAUUGCACCACUUGACAAGAUGAUAAGGAGGGAGACAAGAACAUGGCUUCGUCUACUGAAGGAUACGCCUUUGGGCUUGCUGCACGCACCAAUUAAAUCAGGUGGCCUGGGGAUCCCAAACCUGGGAGCGUCUAUACCCCUUCUCCAGAAAAAGAGAUUUGGCAAGCUCCUAACUAGCCAAAAAGUUCGUUUAAGACCAUUCUACGGAGAGUCAACUUACCAUGUAAGAUUGGUAAAGUGAAAUCUUGUGAAGUCUUUUAUCCAACUACUUUUCUUAACGUUAGAUUAGUAUUAUUGGAUGUCAGCAUAGUUAAAUUCGCUAGCAAGCCAUGUAGCAAGCCAAGAAGCAAUUUUUUUCUUGUUAACUAAGUUAGCUAACAUUAAUUAAAUUUAAUUCACAUGUAUUUGUAUAGCGAUUUUCACAAUACACAGGCCUAUGGUUUCAAAGCAGCUUUACAGAAGAUGCAUGACGUGCUGUUACUGUAGCAAGAUUAUUUUUAGGCUAUAGCCUGUUUGUUGUACAAAUGUAAUAUACCCUAUAGUUGUAGAAAACUUAGUACAGUAUUGGGUUAAGUAAUUUGUUUAUAUUACUAUAGUUGUCACAGCAACUAUAGAAUUACCACAACAAAUGAAUUCAAGUACUUUACUAUAGUAUGGUUCAAAAACAAUAUAGUAUUUACUAUAAAUUACUAUAGGUUUUUUUUUUUUUUUUUAAUGUGGGGUGCUUAUUGGCCAUGUACGUACGCUUAGAUGGGUAGGAUCGUGUCAUCAUAAUUUGAAUGUAAAAAUGUAUUAUUGUUAAAAAUAAUUGUACUACUUGUGAGUAAUAUCUGUAAUAUGUAAUUAAUAUUAGCCUAGGUUUAAUUUAAAUUCUUUUGUAGCUUUUAGGACGUGUUUUUAGAGAGUAAUUACAAAUCCAAUCUUCUUUCUAUUCACCCCGGUCCGAGUGAAGACUACACAAAUACAGAAACGAGGUGCAAAAACACAAUCAACUAUCCCAGUGGCAUUCUCAUCAGUGUCAAAAUAUAAAGCAGAUUUGCCAGAACAAAUCUCUAAAGAAAAGAUGAUUGCCAAUUGGAUUGGACGCUCUGGUCUACCUGCUCGUACAGUUGAGGAUGAUGAUUUUAUCCUUAUGAUAGAGAGCAUCGAUAAGAAGUUGGCAGUGCCGAAGAAAACAAAAAUAAACAACUUAGUUGACCAACUUUACAAUGACGAAAAAAAAUUCAGAGAACAACGUGCCACAGCUCGCAAAAUAAACUUGGCUUUGGACAUAUGGACCAAAAAAGGACUUACAGCAUCAUUUCUCACCAUUAGUGCAUGCUACUUUUGUACUCAGGAGGAAAAAGCAAAGCCUAUAUUGCUGAACCUGGUUCAGCUGUCCCACCCCCAAACAGCAGACUGUAUAAAAACUUGUGUUGACAGGUGCACACAGGAGUAGAGAAAAUACCAAAAAACAAGAUAUUAACUGUCAUAACUGAUAAUGGCAGCAACAUGGUUGCAGCAUUCAAAAAUACUGAACAGGAUGACCACAGUAGCAGCACAGAUGAAGAAUCCCAGGAGGACAGUGAAGAAAACUCAGAGGAUGUCGAAGACCAAAAGUAGGUUUGGAGCACUAGAGAGGAUGCCCUUUGUUGUACAUACCUUGCAACUAGUGGUAAACCUACUUCAGAAAGAAACAAGUGUCAAACGCCUCCUAGACAGAGUUCGACUACUUGUUAUGCUCUUCCGCAAGUCAUCCGUGGCAACAGAGCAACUGCUGCAGCUGUCUGGACUCUCUCUGGUCAAAGACUUCCCCACUACAUGGUCCAGCACCUACCAGAUGAUAACACGUCGUAUUGAUGCGAAGGACUCACUUACUCAAGUAGCUGAUAGGAUGGGCUGGGAUUGUCUGCUGCCAAGUGAAUGGACUACACUAACUACACUCAGAGAUCUGCUCCUCCCCUUUGCUGAGCACACCCAGAUGCUCCAGAUUGACACAAUGUCCUUAUGUCUGGUGGUGCCUGCACUCCUGGACCUGAGUGCUCACCUGUCUGAGUUUCCCCAGACCCAAGGUUCUAGCGCACAAGGACACAACUUCUCUGGCAAAAAAGAUGGAGGCAAAUCUAGACCAACGCUUUAGCUGCUUCCUUAAUCCCAGUGAUUCAAAGUUCUCACCCCUUGCUACUGCUGCAUGCUUCCUCGAUCCAACGGUCUCAGCUGAUGCAUUCAUUGAAAAUGAUGACAAACACAUUCAGGAGCUACUGAAUAGUGCAGAACAGUACAUUGCUCAAAUGGUGUCCCCUGUAAUACAGGAGGAAGCUGCUGAAAAUGAGGGAGAAGAUGAGAUAUGUGAGGAACAGGAGGAGCCACAUGAAAAGCGACCUAGAUUUAGAUUUCUAACGAAAGCAAGUGCAAAGUCAAACCGGCCAUCUAGACCUAGCCACUGCCACAGAAAGCUCUGUGUCAGGCAGGAAAUUCAAAAAUUCAAGGAGCAGCUGUCACAGCCCAUAAACAAAGGGACUGCCUUUGAUUUUUGGGCUGCACGUGGCUCUACCUAUCAGCUUCUAAAACCCCUGGCCCAAGACCUUCUCGCUGUGCCUGCAUCUCCGGCAUUUGCUGAGAGAGUUUUUAGUAUCGCAGAUGACCUGAGUCAGGGCUGUCGGAAUCGAGCCAGGUUGAUCUUGGAAAGAAACGCUUUUCUUAAAAUUACUAUACUGACAUCUUACUAUGUCUGUUGUUUGUUUGAAGAUGUCACCUCUGUGCUGAUGUUAGGCCACUUUGUUUCAACUUUUUAUUUUAUUUUGUAGGUAGCAGAAGGUUAAAGUAAGUUUAAAGUAAGAGUUAAAGUAACGGGUUUGUGAACAACUUUUAUAAGUUGCUCACUUGCAAGUUAUUACCCUCUGCCAGUAACUUUUCACUGACACAAUUUUAAUCAAUGUAGAGUAUAUAAUGGAAGGAUUAGCAAACUAAAAUUGUCCAUAAUAAAUGUAGUUACUGGUUUGAAUUGUUCUUUUGUAUAAGUCCAAAUACAAAGUAAGCCUGUAAUUUUUUGUUUAAGAUUUCAAAUGUUGUUUUGCUUCCAAUUUUGUGUCCACCUUUUAAUGGUUUUAUCACAUUGGAAUUAACAUAACAAUAGUUACAAGUACUGUCCUCUUAAAUGCAAAGGUAUGUCAGACUCAGAAAUAUGUUCAUCAGCCACAGACUGCUUUUGAACAUCUGUGUGUUCUGUUCAUUGCACUUUUAUUUGAAGUUUCAAAAUAAAUGUUGUUUUUCCAUAACAGUCAAAGAAAAAAAUGUUCUUGAGCUAUAAUACCACUUUUAUCUAUCCUUAAUGUAUGAUCCUACAUUUUAAAUUAGAAGAAAGUCCAGAUUAUAGGCUAUCCAACUAAGGAAAAGUGAAAAUUGCACAAGUGCUACUGCUAAGAGUGCAAUGUCAUUACAGCCUGUUACCUUGAUUCAAAUUUCUCAUAAGCUUAACUGAAUUGGUCUAAAGAGAGAAAAAUAAUAAUGACUAUUUUUGUCUAUAGACUAGAUAUAAAAUAGCUACCAAAAUUAAUGUCGACUAAAACUAGACUAAAAUAUGAAAGACUAAAAUGUGACUAAGACUAAAGAGCAUUUAUGUCUGAAGAGUAAGACUAAUUAAACAAUGGCUGCCAAAAUUAACACUGUUCUUCAGGUUGCACCUCAGAGGCAUUAAACUCCGUGGAGGUGUACUUAACACCAAGAAGAGGGCCUCUAGGGGAAGAGGCAGAAAUCCGGAGGAGACUAAAGCCCCGGGUAUACUUCGGCAGUCCGCGUUCGCCGCACACCCCGUCCGCGUGCAGCCCAAAUUUCGAGACCACGCAGACGGUCGUGUAUUGAAGCAAGUAGAAAAAAUGCUUAGAAGAACAGCAGUAAAGACUUGGAUCGAACCCAUUAUACCAAUGAAUAGAAGCUUCAUUAAACCCGACCUGGUAACUGAUUCUGGUAACAGGAUCACAAUCCUGGAUAUAUCUGUUGUUGCAGAUCCGCUGAUGGAACUAACCCACAGGCUGAAAGUGGAGAAAUAUGGCUCCUGGAGAAUGCUGCAGCGAUAAGCUCCUGGAUUGACACAAUUAAACAUCUACCCAUAAUACUGUAAAGUUGAGGAUUGAUGUAUGGCCCCACUGGCAGAGGUAUUUGGAUUUUUGGGGCCCUGGUGAAGUUUUGACAUGCCCUGACAUUUGUGCUUUUUUCAGUUGUUUUCAGUUGUAUUUUUGAGAGAAUAACAUUUAUGUGUGGUUAUUGGAAAAAAAAAAGAGAAAAAAAUUAAGUCACUGAAAUAAGACCACAAAACAAAUACUAAAUAUGUGUCCACAAGACUUCUGGGUACUGAAUUGUGAAGCCUAGAAUUUUUGCUUCAAAAUGAUGUGAAAACCAUCCUGCCUACUUAUUCACAUAAAACAAUAUAUUGAUUUAAAUUUUGUAAGACACUUUUUGUUUAGAAAGAAAGUAUGCGUGGAGGUGUGAAUAAUCCUGAAUAAUGCUGUGAUUCACACCUGAGAAGACAAAGACCCGCAUAAUGAGCCUUUCAGACAGGUAGGCUAUGUGAGAGAAAACUAAAGAAUUUGAGAACAAAGUAGUUUAUUUUGUAGUUUAUUUAGAAUAUAGUUAAUAAUAUAAAUGAGAUACAUUUUGAAUAAAUUUGAGUAUACAGUUUUACCUGGAAAUAAAUCCUGUUCAAAGAUAUAAGCUUACCUGGCAUUCCAAGGUGUUUGGUGUUUUAUGCACUGAAGAAAAAAAAAAAAACCUUUCCUGCUUCCAGUCAGUGAUCUCACCAUCAUAUUAAUUCAGAAUGUCUGAUGUGAGCCAAUAUCUGGUCACUAUGAUUCUCAAAUCUGUGAGAUAAAAGAAAAAAACCCUCUGUAAGCAUGCUGAUAUCUAAUCAUAUCAACUAUUGUAUUAAUGUUAAUGUAACAUCCACUCUUAACAGAAAACAUGAUUUUUGAAAUCUCAUGUAUGCACGUAUUAUUGCACAUCAUGUGAAGAAAAUUUUGUAUAGGACUGUUAUAUUUUAAAGUGCCCCUAUUAUGGUAUUUGAAAGGUUUCUAUUUUUGUUUUGGAAGUCCCCAACAACAGGUUUAAAAGCAUGCAAGGUCAAAAAACACUUUAAUUGUCUUAUAAUAUACAUUUAUUUUUACCUUAUUUGCUCAACGACACCCAAACGUUUCACUCAACGAUUCAUUUUUCCAAACCCCUUGUUUGCGUGAUGCUAAUCUGCGGUGAUUGGUCAGAUGACUUCUGCUGGUUAACACGAAGUACAGUAUAUAGUGCUUGCAUCACUUACAUUAUAUUAUGAUAAUGAUGGUGCUCCGCUCUGUUCUAAAAAUAAAGACUUAAAGGAA